rnacentral:lncRNA from 10 species
GUGAAAGAUCAGUUUGAUUUUUAUUUUUGACUCAUUGCAGAUUAAUCUUUUUAUAAAGUAAAAUAGAAAUAAAUUACUAAAAAAAGAUGCAAAUGAUAAAUCCCAACUUCUAAUUAUUAGGUUCAACAUACAUUCAAUAGGUAUAAUUACCAUAACUAUGCCACAAUUGCUCUGAAAGUUUCUGAACAUUGUCAAUAUACAUCUCAAUUGCAGCUUGGUAACUGAUGGUUUGGAUAUUCAUCCCCUCUAAAUCUCAUGUUGAGAUGUAAUCUCCUGUGCUGGAGGUGGGGCCUGGUGGGCGGUAGUGGAUCAUGGGGGUGGACCCCUCACGAAUGGCUUAGCACCAUUGUCUUGGUGAUGAGUGAGUUCACGUGAGAGCUGGUUGUUUAAAAGUGUGUGGCACCUCCUCUCUCUAUCUCUUGCUCCCUUUUUUGCCAUGGGACGUGCCUGCUUCUCCUUCACCUUCUGCCACGAUUGUAAAUUCCCUGAGGCCCGCACCAGAAGCAGAUACCAGCGCCAUGCUUCCUGUACAGCCUGCAGAACUGUGAGCCAAUUAAACCUCUUUUCUUUAUAAGUUACCCAGCCUCAGGUAUUUCUUUACAGCAACCCAAGAAGGUGUAAUACAGUAGCAAAGAGUUCCUGGACCAGCGUCGAUUCCGCAGACUACACUCUGAGUAGCCCUGGAGAAGAGAGAUCCUUCUGUGGACUUCCCAUCACAGCAAACAGCAAUACUGUGCUCCAGCCAAAACCCAUGGUGCCGUCCUGGGCAAAUUUGGCUUUCUCAGCUCUGUCCACUACAGGCUAAAGCAAUGACACCCCA